UCUUCCUCCUCCUGCACUACCUGCUCUGCGCUGCUGCUGAUUAGACCUGGUGCGCGCUGCUCCGCCAGGUGAGCUGAAUUAGAGCAAUCAAGGGCUGGCAUGCCUAGUAGACCUUAAAAUGCAUGUAGCAGUCAUUUGACCUGAGUGCGACAUACUGAGAGGACAGCAAACAAAGCAAUCCACUUUCCACUGUGAGGAAGACUUUGAGCUAGACGGGCUAUCGGUCGUAUCAAGAACAAGGCUGGAGUGGACGAUAGCACGGCAUCGGCUGUGCUGUCCCUUAACAUCAUUUCUGCCAAGAACAUCAAGUCAUCCCACAACAACAGGGCACCGACGCAAGGGGAGCUGUGGUGGCAUUGCAUGACGGGUGCAGAACGCAAGCUGGGCUGGGAUGUGAUGGGCCCAGUGGAAGGACAAGAGGAUGGGAGGCUCUUCCUUGUCUGCCGAAGACGAGGCUGGCGUGGACUCCGCUCUAAAGAAGGAAUUCCUGGCCUGCUGGUGGACCCAUAAUGAAUAUGUGGCAUAAUUAUAUCAGGGGGUUUUAGGGAAUGUAGAAAAUGGUAGUUUUACGGGUUUUAGAA